rnacentral:rRNA from 1 species
AACGAACGCUGGCGGCAUGCCUAACACAUGCAAGUCGAACGAGAACUUCGGGACUUGUGUCGCACACGGGCGUAUCACGUGGGGAUACGUACCCUUCUUCGGGAUAACAGUUAGAAAUGCCUGCUCAUAUCGCAGGAUCUCGCAAGUCCAAAGAUUUAUCGUCCAAGGAUGAGCCCGCGUAGGAUUAGGUCGUUGGUGGGGUAAAGGCCUACCAAGCCGACGAUCCGUAGCUGGUCUGAGAGGAUGAUCAGCCACACUGGGACUGAGACACGGCCCAGACUCCUACGGGAGGCAGCAGUGGGGAAUAUUGGACAAUGGGCGAAAGCCUGAUCCAGCCAUGCCGCGUGAGUGAUGAAGGCCUUAGGGUUGUAAAGCUCUUUUGUCAGGGACGAUAAUGACGGUACCGGAAGAAUAAGCCCCGGCUAACUCCGUG